rnacentral:lncRNA from 1 species
AUUCCUCAGAAUGUCUAAGGUCUUGAACUAUCGACGUCAGCCUUCUCGAGUUGCUGUUGAAAUUGCUCAGAGCUUUUUGUCUUUUCCGGUGCUUGGCAUGUGACCAGUUUUGCUUCCUGGAAACUUCUGGGCUCUGGCAGCAGACCUGGUGGGCCAGCCUGGGUCCCUUCGGCUUGGACAUAGAUAUGCUGUAGUCAGAACUUGUGUGCUGCCCCUCUGAACUUCUUCCCUGCCUGCUGCCCAUUUCAUGUCUCUCUGGAAGUCUGAGUAUUUACACUUCUCUCUGGCUUUGGCCUGGCUUUCAUGUCCCUCCUAGUUGCAGCUUGGUGACUCUUCACUCUCCCCCCUCCGAGGUGGUGGUGGUCCUCUAAGUGUUGGUCUGCCAAUUGCAGGAUGUUUUAUUCUUCCCUCCCACUUCUGGCCCCGGUGUCCUGCACUGUGUCUUCUCCUCUCCCUGGGAGGGUAGUCAGUUACUCAGCUUUUGAAGUCUCCCUUUUUCCUUUGUUGACUUGAGGUUUCUGUUUGUCUUGGUCUCCGGUCAAGUAGGAGGCUGAGAGGCCUUUUUGGAUUUAAGAGUGAGGCAAUAAAGAGUGACCUGAAGCCACACCAAAUUGGAACAGAACAGACGGCUAAGGCCCACAAAAGGGCGUGGUGGCGCACACCUUUAAUCCCAGCAUUCUGGAGACAGAGGUAGGAGGUGCUCUGAGUGUGAGUUCAGCCUGGUGUCUGCUCAGCAAGUUUCAGGCUAGCCAGGGCUACAUAGUGAGAUCAUUUCUCGGUGAUGACGAUGAUGAUGACGACGGUGAUGACAAUGACAAAGAAGGAUUGGAAGCUCAUUGUAGUCUGUCACCUGUAGAUCUCACUGUGGGAAGACAUGGUGGCCAAAUAAUUCUUCACUGGAGACACUCAAAAGUGAAGGGCUGGGAGUCUGGGAUUUGGCUUAAGAGAGAAUGUGUGCACACUAUGUGCAAAGCCUUGAACCUGGCCUCUGGCAUAAAAAUCAAGAAAAAGGACUGGACUUAAUUAUAUACUCACACCAGACUGUCAAAGAACAGAAGGUUUCUUUUUCUUUUUUUUUUAAGAUUUAUUUAUUGAUUAUAUGUAAGUACACUGUAGCUGUCUUUAGACACUCCAGAAGAGGGAGUCAGAUCUCAUUAUGGAUGGUUGUGAGCCACCAUGUGGUUGCUGGGAUUUGAACUCAGGACCUCUGGAAGAGCAGUCGGUGCUCUUAACCACUGAGCCAUCUCACCAGCCCAGAACAGAAGUUUUUAAAACUAUG